rnacentral:lncRNA from 1 species
AGACUGUUAAUUUUAGAGCACAGUUGUUUAAUAUUAUUAAGUUUCUUAAAAGAAUCUUUUGUGCUUCUAUGUCACCUAGAGCUUGGCAGUCAUCUGCUGUGAAUUGCCCAGUGGAAAAGGAAGUUUUGCCUACAAAAUUGUCUUGCAAAGCCCCUCAGUUUUCUGAUUGUACUGUCUAUCUACAGCGCAUAAAUGUUAACUACUGGAUCAGGGAAAACAUAUAUGUGAAAAAAUAG